UUGAAGUCAGUCGCGUCGGCCGGGGAUCAACCUUGCUUUCUUGCUGGGCGUAAUUCCUGAUCGACGGGUCAGCAUCGAUUUCGGUCGUCGUAGAAGGAUGGAAGUGAACGUGGCACUUCCUCGGGAGUGUGUUAUAGCCUUCCAUAAGGAUGCGACGGCUGGGAUCGAGGAACUUCGGCACGACCCCUCGAGGGUUCGGGGCCUUUUGGCUCACGUAGCGUGCUCAGGAUGCUGGCAUAAUGGCUUCAAGCGACCCGUCUUGAAACACGGACCAAGGAGUCUAACAUGCCUGCGAGUGUUUGGGUGGAAAACCCGGGCGCGAAAUGAAAGUGAAAGCUGGGACCUCUGUCGCGGAGGGCACCGGCGCCCGGACCUGAGCCUUUGGCGACGGAUCUGCGGUGGAGCAUGUAUGUUGGGACCCGAAAGAUGGUGAACUAUGCCUGAAUAGGGUGAAGCCAGAGGAAACUCUGGUGGAGGCUCGUAGCGAUUCUGACGUGCAAAUCGAUCGUCGAAUUUGGGUAUAGGGCGAAAGAC
rnacentral:rRNA from 1 species